rnacentral:tRNA from 1 species
GGAUUGUGGCUCAGCGGUAGAGUGCUCACCUAGCACGCACGGGCCUGGAUUCGAUUCUCAGCACCA